GAUCGUGUUCUGCUGCGGGAUGUCGA
rnacentral:sRNA from 1 species